CUUAAUUUUUUUAAAUGGUUUGAGACAGCAUAGACUUAUUGCUACAAUUCUAUUGCAUUUAGUACUUCUCCUGUGCCAAAUAUCUCGUACUCAAAACAUCACAAUAUCAAUUAGUUUUAAAUGUCAAAUGUUAAUACCAUAUGGAAAAUUAAAGCAUGAUAGAUUUUUUUUAGCAUGUAAAUUAUGUUUGACCUAAAAUAAGAUGCCCCAAGCAAAAAACGUUCGUUGGCUGCAGAGAGUACUAAAAUGAUCCAUAGACAGUUUGAUGAGAAAGGGGGUUAAUGACAUCGAACCGGAAUGACUCCGUGAUAGGAAAAUCUUCGUCACUAUUGAAGAAACCUAGCAAAAUUUCUUCAAGAAACGAAGAGAAAAAGCCAAAUAUAUUCAGGAGAAUUCAAAACAUGGUGGCGGGAUUAUUCUCAGUAUGCAUGAAUAAAAAAAGGUUAACUGAGAAAAUUGUGAAAUUUGAAAAUGCAACACCUGAUAAAACUGUACUGGACAAUGAAAAGAAGAUUGAACAAGACACACUUAUUGACAAAGAACCAGAAAUACAAGAAAGACCGGAACCUCCAAAAAUACGGAAACCAAUUGACGAGCGAUUCAUACAAUUAAAAACUGUACAGAACACUUAUUUUGUGAGCGCUUACAAAGGAACAAUUGCAAAGUCAAUUUACGGUGUACGUCAGGAAGAAUUAAUCCUUGGGAAUACUUGUAAUAUACCUUAAAGACGCAAUAAUUGGUUCAAUUAAAAUUGAAAACUAAAAUAAUUAGCGGGCAGUCUAAGUCCGGAUUCGAGAUGACACAGAAUAUGAGAUCGGCAAGACAGUCCAAAUUCAGAAAAUCUUGUAAUAUUGAACCGAGUGAGGAAUUCACUUAUGUCUCUUCCAUGUUAGCUGAAGAAAGAAGAAAAGCCAGACGUUCUCAAGUGAAGGCCAUAUCAGCUGAAAUCCUGAUCCCGGAAGAACCAAGACGCGAAUCAUCAUUACAAAGGAUAACGGGCAAGAAAGAACGUCGUAUCCCAAAAACUGAGGGUUCUGACAUUGAUUUAGUAGCAUACACAUCGAAAUAUGAAGAUUCAAUUCUCGCAGGGAUUAAACUAAAACCAAAACCACACAAACGUCCAAAUAAUAAUAAUAAUAAUAAUAACACUAAUAAUAAUAAUAAGAAGAAUUGAUUUGUUUGGCUUUUAUAAACCAACGUAUUAUUUUUAUUCACACAAUAUACUUGUACUAAAAGUU